UACCAGCUCUCCGAGUGGUAGGGAUGAUUAUUGGGCUUAAAGCGUCCGUAGCCGGCUUAGCAAGUCUCCUGUUAAAUUCAGCGACCUAAUCGUUGAGCCGCGGGAGAUACUACUAGGCUAGGAGGCGGGAGGGGUCAACGGUACUUCCGGGGUAGGGGUGAAAUCCUAUAAUCCCGGGAGGACCACCAGUGGCGAAGGCUGUUGACUAGAACGCGCUCGACGGUGAGGGACGAAAGCUGGGGGAGCGAACCGGAUUAGAUACCCGGAUAGUCCAGCUGUAAACGAUGCGAGCUAGGUGUUGGGGUGGCUACGUGCCACCUCAGUGCCGCAGGGAAGCCAUUAAGCUCGCCGCCUGGGGAGUACGGCCGCAAGGCUGAAACUUAAGGAAUUGGCGGGGAGCACCACAAGGCGUGAAGCUUGCGGUUC
rnacentral:rRNA from 1 species